rnacentral:rRNA from 1 species
CCGUACCCAUCCCGAACACGAUGGUUAAGACCUAAGCGGCCGAUGGUACUAUGCUGGAGACGGCAUGGGAGAGCAGGUGGCUGCCGGAU